rnacentral:rRNA from 1 species
CAGCAGCCGCGGGAAUACAGAGGAUGCAAGCGUUAUCCGGAAUGAUUGGGCGUAAAGCGUCUGUAGGUGGCUUUUCAAGUCCGCCGUCAAAUCCCAGGGCUCAACCCUGGACAGGCGGUGGAAACUACCAAGCUGGAGUACGGUAGGAGCAGAGGGAAUUUCCAGUGGAGCGGUGAAAUGCGUUGAGAUCGGAAAGAACACCAACGGCGAAAGCACUCUGCUGGGCCGACACUGACACUGAGAGACGAAAGUUAGGGGAGCAAAUGGGAUUAGAUACCCCCGUAGUUCCUGUCUCUUAUAC